UCAUCUAACAUUUUGAUAUACUUAACGAUGUUAACGCCAAUGGCUCUCUUGAAAGUCUAGCUAAGAUCUGGGUAUUUAAUUUUGCAAGUGUUGGUUAAUAAAUGUUGUAUAGAAGAACUGGCCAGCUAAACUCUAGAAAUUAAUGGUAGUGUCCUGGCUGGAGAGUACAGAAAGGUCCUAUAGCUACAGCAGUAAUGAUUAACUGUUCAACACAUACGAAGACCGACGGAUCCGAUGUCGAUAUCGACAAAUUUUAGGAAUUGCAAAAAAUUAAUAGCUAAAACAUGCAAGGUCCCAUCAUUUGGGUAUAGACUUUUGUAUACACGUAAGACAUUCUUACGUGUUCUGUGUCACCCUCGACUCCUGUCACUACAGCAACAACUAAACAUGCAAGGUCCCAUCAUCUGGGUACUCUCGUCUACCACAAGACAUUCUUAAAUGUUCUGUGUCACCCUCGACUCCUGUCACUACAGCAACAACUAAACAUGCAAGGUCCCAUCAUUUGGGUAUAGACUCUUGUAUACACAUAAGACAUUCUUACAUGUUCUGUGUUACCCUCGACUCCUGUCACUACAGCAACAACUAAACAUGCAAGGUCCCAUCAUUUGGGUAUAGACUCUUAACUACCACAUAAGGCAUUCCUACAUGUUCUGUUGUCACUCUUGACUCCUGUUACUACAGCAGCAACUAAACCACUCCAGAACUGAGGGAUCAUGAAAUAUUCACGGAGUCAACAUGAAAUUAUUUCAUCAAGUUUGCUAUGUGCCAGAAGUCUGUAUAAUUUUGGAAGUUCUGAAUGUUUCUUGACCAGAAGAAAGCUUGAUACCUGCUUACUCAGGUUAUUCCACCUUUCCACAAUAUUGAAAUUAUCUUCAAAAAUUAUUUCACAAGGUCCAUCUGGUAUAUAUUUUUUUACUGUUGAGAGUACAGAUGUCUAACAGACCAGUUUCCUUGUUGAAGAACACCUUCACAUCUCCAUGAUGUGAUGGCUAAGUAGCAGUCCUAGACCAUUGCAUCUCCAAGGUUGGAUGGCAGGAAUAAUAUUGGCAGUAAAAGAUAAAUUAUUUUAUACCAACCAUUUUACAUCAGAAACUAAUGGCAGGAAUAAUAUUGGCAGUAAAAGAUAAAUUAUUUUAUACCAACCAUUUUACAUCAGAAACUAAUGAAGUAGAGGAAGAAAUGACAACAGAUAAAGUUCAUAAAUCCUGAAGAAAUCCACCUAAAUAGUAAAGAAGGUGCUUUAAUGAAGUGAUGAAAUUUGUAUUUUAAGUUGUAGAGCAUGAAUGCUUAUAAAUAACUCAAACUUAAUUAACCUCUGCAAACUUUCCAACUCAAGUCUGUCUGUCCAUCAUAUUUCUGUAAAUGCGUCUGUGACGUACCCUUUCAUUUCGUCAACAUUCCGCGAUUUCCUACUGUACACUUCGUCCUUCCCAGAAGAGAAAGUCCGUAUGUAACCGUAUACCUACUUUUGGGCACAAACACACUCGAAUACACAUACACUACAUUGCUAUUUAAAGGACCAAUUCACAGAAGUAUACAUUAUGCUAUCAUACAAAACA
rnacentral:lncRNA from 1 species